rnacentral:rRNA from 1 species
GACGAACGCUGGCGGCGUGCUUAACACAUGCAAGUCACGGGGGUCCCGCAAGGGAUAACCGGCGAACGGGUGCGUAACACGUGAACAACCUGCCCUCGUGUGGGGGAUAGCCAUGCUAACGCGUGGGUAAUACCGCAUACGUUCCCCUGGAGGAGUCUCUGGGGGAGGAAAGCUCCGGCGCACGGGGGAGGGGUUCGCGGCCUAUCAGCUAGUUGGCGGGGUAAUGGCCCACCAAGGCGACGACGGGUAGCUGGCUGAGAGGAUGGCCAGCCACAUUGGGACUGAGAGACGGCCCAGACUCCUACGGGAGGCAGCAGUGGGGAAUCUUGCGCAAUGGUCUAACGACUGACGCAGCGACGCCGCGUGUGGGA